rnacentral:rRNA from 1 species
ACGCUGGCGGCAGGCCUAACACAUGCAAGUCGAGCGGUAGAGAGAAGCUUGCUUCUCUUGAGAGCGGCGGACGGGUGAGUAAUGCCUAGGAAUCUGCCUGGUAGUGGGGGAUAACGUUCGGAAACGGACGCUAAUACCGCAUACGUCCUACGGGAGAAAGCAGGGGACCUUCGGGCCUUGCGCUAUCAGAUGAGCCUAGGUCGGAUUAGCUAGUUGGUGGGGUAAUGGCUCACCAAGGCGACGAUCCGUAACUGGUCUGAGAGGAUGAUCAGUCACACUGGAACUGAGACACGGUCCAGACUCCUACGGGAGGCAGCAGUGGGGAAUAUUGGACAAUGGGCGAAAGCCUGAUCCAGCCAUGCCGCGUGUGUGAAGAAGGUCUUCGGAUUGUAAAGCACUUUAAGUUGGGAGGAAGGGUUGUAGAUUAAUACUCUGCAAUUUUGACGUUACCGACAGAAUAAGCACCGGCUAACUCUGUGCCAGCAGCCGCGGUAAUACAGAGGGUGCAAGCGCUAAUCGGAAUUACUGGGCGUAAAGCGCGCGUAGGUGGUUAGUUAAGUUGGAUGUGAAAUCCCCGGGCUCAACCUGGGAACUGCAUUCAAAACUGACUGACUAGAGUAUGGUAGAGGGUGGUGGAAUUUCCUGUGUAGCGGUGAAAUGCGUAGAUAUAGGAAGGAACACCAGUGGCGAAGGCGACCACCUGGACUGAUACUGACACUGAGGUGCGAAAGCGUGGGGAGCAAACAGGA